GUGGCAGGGUAUCAAGUCACAGCACCAUCACACCAAGAUUUGGGCCCUCUGACAACACCUCUAGACACCGGCUGUUUACAGGGAACCAGCUGCCCUAUUUCCAGAUGCUGGAGUCCAGACAGCCGGUGGGACAGGCUUCUCUGCGAUGCCAGCAGAGGGCCCUGGGCCUGGGGACACCCUCCUCAAAAUGAGAAAAGUGCUCCUAACCCAGGCAAAGGGGGGCUUUUGCUCAUUCAGGGCCCCCAUACUCAGGCUGGGCUCCUGGGAGGCAGGAAAUGAGCGCUGAAGGCAUUGGGUCCCGUAGUCUGGCUUGUAUUCGGCCUCUGCUCAUCCCUGGCUGUACCACCUUGAGCACAUCACUUACCCUCUCUGGGCCUCUACUUCCUUAUCUGCAAAAUGGGCAUGAGAUGGAUCACAGGUGCCAGACAAAAUACGGGAUACCUAGUUAGCCUUGGCUAUCAGAUAAACAAUGAACUGUGUUUGGUUUUCUUUUUUUAGUGAAACAGGCCCUGGGUGACAAGAAUGAGUUGCACAAGAAUGUCAGCAAGAAGCUCCAGACCGCAGGGGUCCUGCAGGAAGAGUGCCAGGGUUCUUCAUUCACAGCAUGUCCCCAGCACCCAGAGCCCGGCCUGAUGCCCUGCAGGGAUCAGUAAAAGUUGUUGCAUGAACGAAAGAUGGGACUUAAUAAAUAGUUACUAAACUCAAA